CGUACAUGGACGCAGCUGAUGCAGCCUGCCGCGUGAGUGAUGAGGCCUUCGGGUUGUAAGCUCUUUCGGCCGGGACGAUAUCGUGCGCUCUAGCAGAAGACGCGCCUGAUAACUCCGUGCCAGCAGCCGCCGUAAUACUACGUGCCAGCAGCCGCGGUAAUA
rnacentral:rRNA from 1 species